UGGCGGCCAUAGCGCGGUGGACCCACCUGAUUCCAUGCCGAACUCAGAAGUGAAACGCCGUAGCGCCGAUGGUAGUGUGGGGUCUCCCCAUGCGAGAGUAGGACACUGCCAGGCA
rnacentral:rRNA from 3 species